rnacentral:tRNA from 1 species
GCCGGUUUAGCCCAGUUGGUAGAGCAUCUGAUUUGUAAUCAGAGGGUCGGGGGUUCAAGUCCCUCAACCGGCACCA